rnacentral:tRNA from 1 species
GGGGUUGGUUAGACUGGCCUCCGGAGCCAAAGGUCGCGCGUUCGAAUCGCGCACCGCUCG